ACAUGCAAGUCGAACGAUGAAGCUUAGAUGAUUUCUUCGGAAUGAACUUAAGUGGAUUAGUGGCGAACGGGUGAGUAACACGUGAGUAACCUGCCUUACACAAGGGGAUAGCCUCUGGAAACGGAGAAUAAUACCCUAUAAAGUCUAAUCAGCCCAUGCUGGAAAGACCAAAGAUUUAUCGGUGUAAGAUGGACUUGCGUCUGAUUAGCUAGUUGGUGAGAUAAAAGCUCACCAAGGCGACGAUCAGUAGCCGGCUUGAGAGAGUGUACGGCCACAUUGGGACUGAGACACGGCCCAAACUCCUACGGGAGGCAGCAGUGGGGAAUUUUGCACAAUGGGGGAAACCCUGAUGCAGCGACGCCGCGUGAUUUAGAAGGCCUUCGGGUUGUAAAAAUCUUUUUUACGGGAUGAAAAUGACAGUACCGUAAGAAUAAGGUCCGGCUAAAUACGUGCCAGCAGCCGCGGUAAUACGUAUGGACCGAGCGUUGUCCGGAAUCAUUGGGCGUAAAGGGUACGUAGGCGGCCUAGUAAGUUAGAAGUUAAAGAAUAUAGCUCAACUAUAUAAAGCUUUUAAAACUGCUAGGCUUGAGAGAUGGAAGGGAAAGUGGAAUUCCUAGUGUAGCGGUGAAAUGCGCAGAUAUUAGGAAGAAUACCGGUGGCGAAGGCGACUUUCUGGUCAUCAUCUGACGCUGAGGUACGAAAGCGUGGGUAGCAAACAGGAUUAGAUACCCUGGUAGUCCACGCUGUAAACGAUGAGUGUUAGGUUCUUGGAAUAAUCUGGGAGCCGCAGCUAACGCAUUAAACACUCCGCCUGGGGAGUACGCACGCA
rnacentral:rRNA from 1 species